GAUGAACGCUGGCGGCGUGCCUAACACAUGCAAGUCGAGCGAUCUCUUCGGAGAGAGCGGCGGACGGGUGAGUAACGCGUGGGUAACCUGCCCUGUACACACGGAUAACAUACCGAAAGGUAUACUAAUACGGGGUAACAUACGAAAGUCGCAUGGCUUUUGUAUCAAAGCUCCGGCGGUACAGGAUGGACCCGCGUCUGAUUAGCUAGUUGGUAAGGUAAUAGCUUACCAAGGCAACGAUCAGUAGCCGACCUGAGAGGGUGAUCGGCCACACUGGAACUGAAACACGGUCCAGACUCCUACGGGAGGCAGCAGUGGGGAAUAUUGCACAAUGGGCGAAAGCCUGAUGCAGCAACGCCGCGUGAGCGAUGAAGGCCUUCGGGUCGUGAAGCUCUGUCCUCAAGGAAGAUAAUGACGGUACUUGAGGAGGAAGCCCCGGCUAACUACGUGCCAGCAGCCGCGGUAA
rnacentral:rRNA from 1 species